UACGAAGGGGGGCUAGCGUUGCUCGGAAUCACUGGGCGUAAAGCGCACGUAGGCGGUUUGUUAUGUCGGAUGUGAAAGCCCUUGGCUCAACUGAGGAAGUGCAUCCGAAACUGGCAAGCUAGAGUAUGUAAGAGGGUCGCGGAAUUCCCGGUGUAGAGGUGAAAUGCGUAGAUAUCGAGAGGAACACCUGCGGCGAAGGCGGGUUGCUGGGCUGACACUGACGCUGAGACGCGAAAGCGUGGGGAGCAAACAGG
rnacentral:rRNA from 1 species